rnacentral:snoRNA from 1 species
AUGGUCUGGGGAAGAGCUCCUGUGUUGUUGAACCUGCCCAGCGGGUGGGUGCAGCCUUGUAACCAGGUAGCCCGACCUUGACCUAAAGUAAAUUCCCAGGGAAGUCCUUCCCGGGGUUUGGAUUUGCAGUAACAGGUGUGAGCAUUCCAGCAGCAGCUUGAUGGUCAUGUAUGACACUGCAAACAGGA